AUAAAGUCAUCGAUUAAUCGUUCCGUUCCAGUUUAUCGCUAUCCGAGGUAAGUUUAUAAUCAAAUAGAUGUUAUAAUUUCUGAAUAAAUAUUAGUUAUAUAUGCCGAAAUGAAAGUAUGCAAAAAUAUAUAUACGUAGCGGAAUGUGUUUUAGUCAGAAAGUAGAAAUAGACGUGAAUGUGAUUUAUCAAUAUUUAGCACUAAGUGUGCGAGUAUGGGAUAGCUACAGCUAUAUGAACGGCACUAAGUGUGUGAAACUAAAAUGACGAUGUUGAAUAAUGGGCACUAAGUGUGCGAAAUUAAAAUGAUGAUGUUGAAUAACGAGCACUAAGUGUGCGAUACCGAGAGCAAUUUGGUUAGAUGAGAAAGAGCACUAAUUGUGCAACUUCAUUAUGGCCUCGACCAAUUAUUUAGUACAUGAUAGGUCAAGUAUGCAAUGGUUGAAUAAUAAAUGAUAUCAAGGUAAGUUAGUUACUUCAAUUGUGAUAAGAAAAUUUAUAUAAGGUAAAUGAAAGUAUAUGAGUAUAUGAAGGUCUAUAUUCGGCCAAAUGGUAAGUAUAUGUGAUAUUGUAAUUGUGAAUUAUAUGCAUCUAUAUAUGAAUGAGUACAUUUGGUAAAUAGUGGGUAUAUGAUUUGAAAGUGAAAAAUAAUUACGUGUAUAUUUGGCUAAGUUGAAAUUGAUUCAUAGUUACAUAUUAGAUAAUUAAAUUUUGCAAGCUCAAAUGUGUAUAUAUGAAUAUGAUUGCAUUAUUCGGUUUUGUUAUUGAAUUAUUAACAUUAUUGAAUUGUCUAAUUGAUUAUGACUUACUAAGCUGUGAUAGCUUAUACUGUAUGUGUGUUUCCUUCGGUUUUAUAGAUUUUGGAAGCUAGUUACGGGCUCGGGGAUCAUUAGCGAAGUCAAUCACACUAUCGACCGUCCAUCGGUAUUUAUAAAAGUUCAAUAUAAAAUCUAUGGCAUGUAUAGACUAUACUACCCUUUUGAAUAUAUAUUUUGAAUGAAGUGUGUAUAUAUAAUAAUACAUGCGAAAAUGGCUUGUUUAUUUUGUUAUGAAUGGUUUUAUGUUUUGAUUAAAUAUUAUGGUUGAUGAUUU
rnacentral:lncRNA from 1 species